rnacentral:rRNA from 1 species
UACAGAGGGGGCAAGCGUUAUUCGGAAUUACUGGGCGUAAAGCGCGCGUAGGCGGCUUUGCAAGUCGGGUGUGAAAUCCCCAGGCUUAACCUGGGAACUGCAUUCGAGACUGCAUUGCUAGAGUAUGGGAGAGGGAAGUGGAAUUUACGGUGUAGCGGUGAAAUGCGUAGAUAUCGUAAGGAAGACCAGUGGCGAAGGCGGGUCUCUGGACAGUUCCUGACGCUGAGGCACGAAGGCCAGGGGAGCAAACGGG